rnacentral:rRNA from 1 species
UCAGUAAACGGCGAGUGAAAGCGGUAACAGCUCAAAUUUGAAAAUCUGGCUCUUUCAGGGUCCGAGUUGUAAUUUGUAGAAGAUGCUUCGGGUGAGGACCUGGUCUAAGUUCCUUGGAACAGGACGUCAUAGAGGGUGAGAAUCCCGUAUGUGAUCAGGACCCCUCGCCCAUGUGAAGCUCUUUCGACGAGUCGAGUUGUUUGGGAAUGCAGCUCAAAAUGGGUGGUAAAUUUCAUCUAAAGCUAAAUAUUGGCCAGAGACCGAUAGCGCACAAGUAGAGUGAUCGAAAGAUGAAAAGCACUUUGGAAAGAGAGUUAAACAGUACGUGAAAUUGUUGAAAGGGAAGCGCUUGCAACCAGACUUGCACGCGGUUGAUCAUCUGGGGUUCUCCCCAGUGCACUCUGCCGCGUUCAGGCCAGCAUCGGUUUCGGUGGUUGGAUAAAGGCCUUGGGAAUGUAGCUUCUUUCGGGGAGUGUUAUAGCCCUCGGUGCAAUGCAGCCUACCGGGACCGAGGACCGCGCUUCGGCUAGGAUGCUGGCGUAAUGGUUGUAAGCGACCCGUCUUGAAACACGGACCAAGGAGUCUAACAUCUAUGCGAGUGUUUGGGUGUUAAACCCAUACGCGUAAUGAAAGUGAACGGAGGUGAGAACCCUUAAGGGUGCAUCAUCGACCGAUCCUGAUGUCUUCGGAUGGAUUUGAGUAAGAGCAUAGCUGUUGGGACCCGAAAGAUGGUGAACUAUGCGUGAAUAGGGUGAAGCCAGAGGAAACUCUGGUGGAGGCUCGCAGCGGUUCUGACGUGCAAAUCGAUCGUCAAAUUUGCGCAUAGGGGCGAAAGACUAAUCGAACCAUCUAGUAGCUGGUUCCUGCCGAACU